AACGAACGCUGGCGGCAUGCCUAACACAUGCAAGUCGAACGAGACCUUCGGGUCUAGUUGCGCACGGGUGCGUAACGCGUGGGAACCUUCCCUUAGGUUCGGAAUAACUCCCCGAAAGGGGUGCUAAUACCGGAUAAUGUCUUCGGACCAAUGAUUUAUCGCCUUUGGAUGGUCCCGCGUUGGAUUAGCUAGUUGGUAGGGUAAAAGCCUACCAAGGCGACGAUCCAUAGCUGGUCUGAGAGGAUGAUCAGCCACACUGGGACUGAGACACGGCCCAGACUCCUACGGGAGGCAGAAGUGGGGAAUAUUGGACAAUGGGCGAAAGCCUGAUCCAGCAAUGCCGCGUGAGUGAUGAAGGCCUUAGGGUUGUAAAGCUCUUUUACCCGCGAUGAUAAUGACAGUACCGGGAGAAUAAGCUCCGGCUAACUCCGUG
rnacentral:rRNA from 1 species